rnacentral:ncRNA from 2 species
ACAUACAGCGGCGAUGAAGCUCGCCGUGGCUCAUGGCAAAACCGCCGCAAGGCUGAUAGCUUCUAUUUUAAA